AUUGAACGCUGGCGGCAGGCCUAACACAUGCAAGUCGAGCGGAUGAAGGGAGCUUGCUCCUGGAUUCAGCGGCGGACGGGUGAGUAAUGCCUAGGAAUCUGCCUGGUAGUGGGGGAUAACGUCCGGAAACGGGCGCUAAUACCGCAUACGUCCUGCGGGAGAAAGUGGGGGAUCUUCGGACCUCACGCUAUCAGAUGAGCCUAGGUCGGAUUAGCUAGUUGGUGGGGUAAAGGCCUACCAAGGCGACGAUCCGUAACUGGUCUGAGAGGAUGAUCAGUCACACUGGAACUGAGACACGGUCCCGACUCCUAAGGGAGGCAGCAGUGGGGAAUAUUGGACAAUGGGCGAAAGCCUGAUCCAGCCAUGCCGCGUGUGUGAAGAAGGUCUUCGGAUUGUAAAGCACUUUAAGUUGGGAGGAAGGGCAGUAAGUUAAUACCUUGCUGUUUUGACGUUACCAACAGAAUAAGCACCGGCUAACUUCGUG
rnacentral:rRNA from 1 species